UACGGAGGGAGCUAGCGUUGUUUGGAAUUACUGGGCGUAAAGCGCACGUAGGCGGCUUUGUAAGUUAGAGGUGAAAGCCCGGGGCUCAACUCCGGAACUGCCUUUAAGACUGCAUCGCUUGAAUCCAGGAGAGGUGAGUGGAAUUCCGAGUGUAGAGGUGAAAUUCGUAGAUAUUCGGAAGAACACCAGUGGCGAAGGCGGCUCACUGGACUGGUAUUGACGCUGAGGUGCGAAAGCGUGGGGAGCAAACAGG
rnacentral:rRNA from 1 species